AAAUCAGUGCUUACUUUGUAAUGAUACAGAGAUUAUGACACAGUGAGAAAUGAAGAGAGGUUAUUAAAUCAGUGCUUACUUUGUAAUGAUACAGAGAUUAUGACACAGUGAGAAAUGAAGAGAGGUUAUUAAAUCAGUGCUUACUUUGUAAUGAUACAGAGAUUAUGACACAGUGAGAAAUGAAGAGAGGUUAUUAAAUCAGUGCUUACUUUGUAAUGAUACAGAGAUUAUGACACAGUGAGAAAUGAAGAGAGGUUAUUAGUGUAAUCAGUGCUUACUUUGUAAUGAUACAGAGAUUAUGACACAGUGAGAAAUGAAGAGAGGUUAUUAGUGUAAUCAGUGCUUACUUUGUAAUGAUACAGAGAUUAUGACACAGUGAGAAAUGAAGAGAGGUUAUUAGUGUAAUCAGUGCUUACUUUGUAAUGAUACAGAGAUUAUGGCACAGUGAGAAAUGAAGAGAGGUUAUUAGUGUAAUCAGUGCUUACUUUGUAAUGAUACAGAGAUUAUGACACAGUGAGAAAUGAAGAGAGGUUAUUAAAUCAGUGCUUACUUUGUAAUGAUACAGAGAUUAUGGCACAGUGAGAAAUGAAGAGAGGUUAUUAGUGUAAUCAGUGCUUACUUUGUAAUGAUACAGAGAUUAUGGCACAGUGAGAAAUGAAGAGAGGUUAUUAGUGUAAUCAGUGCUUACUUUGUAAUGAUACAGAGAUUAUGACACAGUGAGAAAUGAAGAGAGGUUAUUAGUGUAAUCAGUGCUUACUUUGUAAUGAUACAGAGAUUAUGACACAGUGAGAAAUGAAGAGAGGUUAUUAGCUGUGAUCAGUGUGAGGGAGUGUUCAUGUGCAGCUAUCCUGUGUUACGACUCGGCAGAAGCUGAUGUCUAUGUGUUUUGUAGAAAUUCAACUCAGAGCUUUGUUUUUUAUUCUGUUUUGGACUGUCCAAAGUGCUAUUUACCUUUCUAGUUGCGUAUAAGCCAAAGAUCUGACUGUCAUUACUGUGUUGUGUUAUAUCGUGUUAUCGUACUGUUGCUGUCCACAUUUAAACCAGUGAGAGCUAAUAAAUUAUAACAGUAAAGUGUUA